rnacentral:rRNA from 1 species
GACGAAGGGGGCAAGCGUUGUUCGGAAUUACUGGGCGUAAAGGGCGCGUAGGCGGUUCUUUAAGUCAGGCGUGAAAGCCCUGGGCUCAACCUGGGAGUGGCGCUUGAUACUGGAGGACUAGAGAGUGGGAGAGGUUGGUGGAAUUCCCAGUGUAGAGGUGAAAUCCGUAGAUAUUGGGAAGAACACCGGUGGCGAAGGCGGCCAACUGGACCAUUUCUGACGCUGAGGCGCGAAAGCGUGGGGAGCAAACAGG